rnacentral:misc_RNA from 1 species
UUUCCGUAGGUGAACCUGCGGAAGGAUCAUUGUCGAAGCCUGCCCAGCAGAACGACCCGCGAACUUGUAUAAACAACCGGGGGCAGGGGCGAUCUCGCCCCGUGCCCUCGAACGGCAGGGAGACACUCGUGCCUUCUUGUCGAACAACGAACCCCGGCGCGGUCUGCGCCAAGGAACUUCAAUUAAAGAGUGCCUCCGGUCGCCUCGGAAACGAUGCGCGUGUCGGGGCGAAUCUUGUACAAAACCAUAACGACUCUCGGCAACGGAUAUCUCGGCUCUC